rnacentral:rRNA from 1 species
AUUGAACGCUAGCGGGAUGCUUUACACAUGCAAGUCGAACGGCAGCGCGGACUUCGGUCUGGCGGCGAGUGGCGAACGGGUGAGUAAUGUAUCGGAACGUGCCCAGUAGCGGGGGAUAACUACGCGAAAGCGUAGCUAAUACCGCAUACGCCCUACGGGGGAAAGCAGGGAAUCGUAAGACCUUGCACUAUUGGAGCGGCCGAUAUCGGAUUAGCUAGUUGGUGAGGUAACGGCUCACCAAGGCGACGAUCCGUAGCUGGUUUGAGAGGACGACCAGCCACACUGGGAAUGAGACACGGCCCAGACUCCUACGGGAGGCAGCAGUGGGGAAUUUUGGACAAUGGGGGCAACCCUGAUCCAGCCAUCCCGCGUGUGCGAUGAAGGCCUUCGGGUUGUAAAGCACUUUUGGCAGGAAAGAAACGUCGCGGGCUAAUACCCCGUGGAACUGACGGUACCUGCAGAAUAAGCACCGGCUAACUACGUG